UAGUGAACAAGACAUGGUAUUUAAUCUAAUUUAAUUUAAUUUCAAUUCCUUUUCUCCCAUGUAGACGAGUGCUGGUGGCAGACUGAGGGAGAAGGAAUAACCCCAGCACUGUGGAACACAGGGGUCUGCCAGUGCUGGCGAAGCCUUUUUUGAGAAGCACACAGAAAAUCUGCCAUCCCAACCCCAAAUCUCCUUCCCACUGGCCACCAGCCUGAGCAGGAGCUGUGUCCAGGUGCUCCAUCCCAGCUCUGACUCCUGAUGGAUAUUUCCCUAUUCCUGGCAACAGGGAGAGCCUCACAUGGUGCAGAGAUAGAAAAAUAACUGCAGCUCUCCUUCCAGCCCAAUAAUUCUCUCCCAUGUGUGAGCACACACAACUGGCAGGAAUCACAGGGCAGACAUCUCCACACCGCAGAAACUCCAAAAAAUAAAAAAUCAGAUUUGUUUUGAAGCUGGG
rnacentral:lncRNA from 1 species